GGAUUAGCUAGUUGGUAAGGUAAUGGCUCACCAAGGCAACGAUCCGUAGCUGGUCUGAGAGGAUGAUCAGCCACAUCGGGACUGAGACACGGCCCGAACUCCUACGGGAGGCAGCAGUGGGGAAUAUUGGACAAUGGGGGCAACCCUGAUCCAGCCAUGCCGCGUGUGUGAAGAAGGCCCUCGGGUUGUAAAGCACUUUCAGCGAGGAAGAACGCCUAUUGGUUAAUACCCGGUAGGAAAGACAUCACUCGCAGAAGAAGCACCGGCUAACUCCGUGCCAGCAGCCGCGGUAAUACGGAGGGUGCAAGCGUUAAUCGGAAUUACUGGGCGUAAAGCGCGCGUAGGUGGCUUGAUAAGCCGGUUGUGAAAGCCCCGGGCUCAACCUGGGAACGGCAUCCGGAACUGUCAGGCUAGAGUGCAGGAGAGGAAGGUAGAAUUCCCGGUGUAGCGGUGAAAUGCGUAGAGAUCGGGAGGAAUACCAGUGGCGAAGGCGGCCUUCUGGACUGACACUGACACUGAGGUGCGAAAGCGUGGGUAGCAAACAGGAUUAGAUACCCUGGUAGUCCACGCCGUAAACGAUGU
rnacentral:rRNA from 1 species